rnacentral:rRNA from 1 species
UACGGAGGGUGCGAGCGUUGUCCGGAAUCACUGGGCGUAAAGGGCGCGUAGGCGGUUCGUUAAGUUGCUGGUGAAAUCCCGGGGCUCAACUCCGGGGCUGCCAGUAAGACUGGCGGGCUAGAGCACGGUAGAGGCAGAUGGAAUUCCCGGUGUAGCGGUGGAAUGCGUAGAUAUCGGGAAGAAUACCGGUGGCGAAGGCGUUCUGCUGGGCCGUUGCUGACGCUGAGGCGCGACAGCGUGGGAGCAAACAGG